rnacentral:lncRNA from 1 species
AAAAAAUUCAUUAUUUUUAACAUCUCAUCUAUCUGUAAAAUUUUAUGUAACUCCUUAUUUACAAAUAAAAUUUUUUAAAUAAAAAAGGAUAUGUAAAUAUUUCUCUACUGUACCAUAUAUAUCUUCAAACCAAGAUUGCUACAUGUAGAAAGAAAAAUUCUCAUGCAAAUGUCUAAUUACUUUCUUGGUGCAAUUUUGUUGCACUGUCUAAUGGCGGCCUGCUUAGCCAUGGCGACAACCAAUAUUACAAUUGAUCAAUCUUCUCUGCUCAGCUUCAAAACUCACAUAAAAUUAGACACUUCGCACAUUUUAUUGAAAAAUUGGUCGGUUUCUACUUUUGUUUAUGUCUGGAUUGGAGUUACUUGUUGUUAAGUGUAAAUCAAUAUUAAUAAAUUUUAUUUUCUAUAAUUUCACUCGAUAAUAUAAAUUGGGUCAUAUUUACAUUUAGAAAAAAUCAUGCCACAUGAUACUAUUUACUGAUAUAGACAUAAGCCUUACUAGAUGGUGAACCUCUUUAAG